CUACAAACCCGAACUAUCGUUUCAACUUUGCGUUGGAAAGGAAAGUCUGGACAGCAAAGAGCAACCCACCGGUGAAAAGCCGGCUAACAGUUUUCUGUUAAGAGAAAGUGCCACAGAAAAUAACCGCCUUCGGGUAAGGGUGAAAAUGUGAGGUAAAAGCUCACGGCUCCGUAUGGUAACAUGCAGGGCGGGUAAACCUUGGGUGCUGUAAUGCCACGUAUAGAGCCGUU
rnacentral:RNase_P_RNA from 1 species